rnacentral:rRNA from 1 species
UACGGAGGGUGCAAGCAUUGAUCGGAAUUACUGGGCGUAAAGGGCGCGUAGGCGGUUUUUUAAGUCAGGUGUGAAAUUCCGGGGCUCAACCCCGGAGCUGCACUUGAAACUGGAGAACUUGAGGGUAGUAAGGGAAAACGGAAUUCCACGUGUAGCGGUGAAAUGCGUAGAUAUGUGGAAGAACACCGGUGGUGAAGACGGUUUUCUGUGCUAAACCAGACGCUGAGGCGCGAAAGCUAGGGGAGCAAACAGG